rnacentral:rRNA from 1 species
CCUCCGCGCGGCAUCAGUCGGGACUAUUGCGCCAUGGAGGAAACUCUGACGCAGUGCCUCCGCGUGCAGGAAGAAGGUUUUCGGAUUGUAAACUACUUUAGACAGGGCAGAAAAAAGACAGUACCUGUAGAAUAAGCUCCGGCUAACUACGUGCCAGCAGCCGCGGUAAUACGUAGGGAGCAAGCGUUAUCCGGAUUUAUUUGGUGUAAAGGGUGCGUAGACGGAGAAGCAAGUUCGUUGUGAAAUCCCUCGGCUUAACUGAGGAACUGCAACUAAAACUACUUCCCUUGAGUACUGGAGAGGAAAGUGGAAUUCCAAGUGUAGCGGUGAAAUGCGUAGAUAUUAGGAGGAACACCAGGGGCGAAGGCGACUUUCUGGACAGUAACGGACGUUGAGGCACGAAAGUGUGGGGAGCAAACAGGAUUAGAUACCCGGGUAGUC